rnacentral:ncRNA from 1 species
CAUGGCUGUCGUCAGCUCGUGUCGUAAGGUGUUGGGUUAAGUCCCGCAACGAGCGCAACCCUCGUGUGGAAUGGGACUUUUGUCAAUUUGAGUGAUAUCAACUAUGAUGGUAACUCAACCUAUGUGAUUGGAGAUCCAAUGAAGUAGGUUCAUAUUGGUAAUAACAAGUCAUUA